CCUACGGGGCGCAGCAGUGGGGAAUAUUGGACAAUGGGCGAAAGCCUGAUCCAGCCAUGCCGCGUGUGUGAAGAAGGCCUUCGGGUUGUAAAGCACUUUCAGUGGGGAAGAAAGCCUUGGGGCUAAUACCCUCGAGGAAGGACAUCACCCACAGAAGAAGCACCGGCUAACUCCGUGCCAGCAGCCGCGGUAAUACGGAGGGUGCGAGCGUUAAUCGGAAUUACUGGGCGUAAAGCGCGCGUAGGCGGUCUGAUAAGCCGGUUGUGAAAGCCCCGGGCUCAACCUGGGAACGGCAUCCGGAACUGUCAGGCUAGAGUGCAGGAGAGGAAGGUAGAAUUCCCGGUGUAGCAGUGAAAUGCGUAGAGAUCGGGAGGAAUACCAGUGGCGAAGGCGGCCUUCUGGACUGACACUGACGCUGAGGUGCGAAAGCGUGGGUAGCAAACAGGAUUAGAUACCCUAGUAGUC
rnacentral:rRNA from 1 species